rnacentral:lncRNA from 1 species
UAUAAAUAUUUUUUACAACAAAUAUAUAAAUUAUACAAUAGAAAAAUUAUUUCGGAAUCUGAGCCGAAUAAACACAUCAUCUGAACAGCCACAAUUAUAGCGCACAAAAUUGUGAUUGUUGAAUGGUUUUUGGAUUCAAAUCGUAGUUACAGAGACUCCGAGGUGCGGAUAAAUGUGACCAAACUAAAUGCACUUCUAAAUAGCUUAAUAUCUAGCCCAAUCAUUAGUAGGAUUAAUUAACUAUAAUUUUUAAACUUCUAUUAUAAUUUCACUAUAAUUGUCCCAAUCACUAGUAGCUAGGACUACCUAUUUAAUCCCUACAAUAAUAUUUUUCAAUUUUAUUAUUAUUUUUUUAAUUCACUCAACAUAAGGAAGAUAACUUGUUCUAGUAUCUAUUCCUGCCGAUGCAAUCCUAUAAUUCCCUAAAUUAUCGCAAAUUGUUAAAUCAUAAAUUCCUGUGUGCUGAAAAAUUAUCUUUCUCUGUCGCUUAUAAAAAGAGAAUAUAUUUGCUUUUAUAAAACCAAGCCCUUUCAUAUCCCACAAAUAUUAUUUUACAUAAUCUUUUCUAAAUGGAUCAUAAUCUCAUAUAUUGAUUCUUUGAAUAAAAGCAAAAUAUUUCACCAAUUAAAUUUUGAUCUAUCCAUUUAUGGGGCCAAUAACUUUUCUUCUGGUCAAAGUAGAAUCUUAGGUUAGUCAAAAUCCAACGGUCAUGUAAUUAAUCCCUCAAUUUCUUACUUUUUUUUAAUUUUAGUACCCGUACUUUAAAGUGUAUUAAUUUAAUAUCCUAUAAUUUUAUUUUUCUUCUUUUAUUGUUUCCUCCACUAAUUUUUUUUCUUUAAAUCAGUGACAAAGUUAAAACUAAAAGGGACUAAAGUGAAUAUUCGAUAAACCUAGGUGAGAUAUCUGAAGUUUUAUGUAUAUAAUAAUUAACGAAAUAUUAACGGAGGAGCUGACAAAAAGAGAAAAAGUGAAAUCAUAGGGUACUAAAUUGAUACAUUUUAAACCACAGGGUACUAAAGUGAGAAAAUGCGAAACUAUAUGAGUGGUAUUUGAAGUUUACCCUUUAAUUUAUCAUCUACUAAAUAUAAUAUAUAUAAUAUAAUAUAAUGUAUAUAAUAAUAAUAUACAUUUUUUGAAUAUUAAUUACACAUAUU